AGUGAACGCUGGCGGUAGGCCUAACACAUGCAAGUCCAACGGCAGCACAGUACUAGCUUGCUCUUACGGGUGGCGAGUGGCGGACGGGUGAGGAAUACAUCGGACUCUACUUUUUCGUGGGGGUUCACGUAGGGAAACUUACGCUAAUACCGCAUACGACCUACGGGUGAAAGCAGGGGAUCUUCGGACCUGGCGCGAUUGAAUGGGCCGGUGUCGGAUUAGCUAGUUGGCGGGGUAGUGGCCCACCGAGGCGACGAUCGGUAGCUGGCCUGAGAGGGUGACAGGCCACAUUGGGACUGAGAGACGGCCAAGACUCAGACGGGAGGAAGAAGUGGGGAAUAUUGCACAAUGGGCGGAAGCCUGAUGCAGCAAAGCCGCGUGCGGGAUGACGGCCUUCGGGGUGUAAAACGCUUUCGCAUGUGACGAAGCGUGAGUGACGGUAAUGGGUAAAGAAGCACCGGCUAACUACGUG
rnacentral:rRNA from 1 species